rnacentral:lncRNA from 1 species
CACAGACAGUUAUCCUAUCUGAAGCUCAGUCUCCCCACCCGUAAAACAGACUUAAUCCUCUAUCUUGAUGGCAUUCAUAAUGAGGAUGAAACGAAUCAUGUGUGUCAUGAGCUGAGCAAGGAGCACCACACAGAAGCUGGUUGGUCGCUACUGUGGUUGUUGACAUUUACUGCUGCCUUCAAAUCAUAAAGCAUUCUCAUAGGGUUUGCUUAAAAAUAGAUGGAUUUUCUGAGUUACCGUCGUGGCUCAGCGGAAAUGAAUCUGACUAAUAUCCAUGAGGAUGCAUGUUUGACUUCUGGCCUUGCUCAGUGGGUUAACGAUCUGGCGUUGCCGCGAGCUGUGGCGUAGGUGGAAGAUGUGGCUCAGAUCCCGAGUUGCCGUGGCUGUGAUGUAGGCUGGCAGCUGCAGCUCCGAUUCGACCCCUAGCCUGAGAACCUCCAUAUGCCACAGGUGCAGCCCUAAAAAGCAAAAACAAAAGCAAAAAAAAAGAGGAUGAAUUUCCUUACUGUUUCAAAGAAAGAAAGCUGGUCAUUUAAAAGAAGAAGGGAAACAAAGACGCUCUCAGCAUCCUCUGGCUGCCUUUCCCACCAGCUGCUGUUGCCACGGUCAGCACCACGGACAGCAACAGCUCUGGUUUCAGAACAUGGAAACCGAAGGAAGAUUGGAUCUGUGGUGGCCUGAAAGAUCA